GUUUAUCCGUUUAUGUCGUAAAGUAAACGUAAACUCGUAAACAAAACCUUGCGGUUAAUGUUUUGGCAAUGGGAGCUUGGGAUGAAGAAGUUGUGCUGUGUUUCUUUCAGUAAAGCAAGAUUUGCAUAGAAAGGUGAAAUAGUUUAUGAAUAAUUUUACGACAAGAAGCUGAAAAAUGAUACUACGACACACUUUGACAUGAGUAUCUGAAAUUCCAGUGAACCAGUCAGUUCACCAGCAACAGCUUCUAGUCCUGGCAAAAAGCCAGAAAACAAUGUACGAAGAAACAUCAACAAUUUAUCGUUUCAGGAGACCACAACAGAUCUGUGCAUCACACAGGGUAAUCAAGAGUUUGUAGUCAGCAUACUCAAUAAUCUUCUUUCUAAAACGAAAUGAAAUCCUUGAAGAUGUCUUGGAGCUGUUGUCACUUUGUCCAACAGCGUCAUGAAAGAACUGCUACUUUGCAUCACCACCAUUUAAAACAUUCCAGCCACAGAGUUCCAGCACAGCAUAUCCUUUACAGAUAUGAGCUAAAUACAACAUUUGAUAUAAAUUCACAGGGGCCAUAUUAGGGAUUAAUUAUUCGGCAAUUUUUCCGCAAUUAGAUGGCGCGAGUGUCUUCGUUACUCAAGACGAAAUUGCGCCAUUUCUUAAAACCUUGAUUGGAAACCAUCAAACCACAUGUUGAAAACGUAUCGUUGGAUUGGAUACUUAAUACGGCGUACUUAUCUUUCUUGACCCCAUUUUUAUUCGUAUUAAUGGUAUUUAUCUGGUAACGGCCUAUAAUUUCUAAAUGGCAAUUUCAUCUGAUCAUGUGGCCUCAGCAGCUGAACAUUUUGCCAAAAUGUCUCUUUUUCUUGUACCAGCUUCACAUUUGUCAGAAACACUUCAGAACAAUCCAGGAAUAACAUGCUGGUGGAGUUUGAGCUUCUUUGUUGCUGCCCAACGUAAAUAUGGAUUUGAAGCAGCCAUCUGAUAAAGGGUAUUCCUCUUGCAACCUGUACUGUUGUGUGUUUCAUCACAUGAAGAAACACUUAGCUACAAUUGAAGUUUAGCGUUUAUGUUCGCGUAGUUGCUGUCCGAUGUGGCACGUUGUUGCAGCCUAUGCUGGUGAAAGAUCUUUCUACAUCAAGUUCAAUUGGCCGUUCCUUGAUGCUGGUGUCGUGUUACCGAAGUUGCAUCAUUAUCUUGUUAAAUUGUCAUCGUGACUAUUGCAGUUUACCGUUUAUAAGUUCAGAGGCACAAAAAAAAACAAAACAAAUAUGGGAUGUUUAUGUCAACAAAUAAUAAACAUGUUUCCGGGAUUGGGGAAAGGAAAGUGGAGGAUGUUGGAGGGGGAGGGAGGAUAUUUAAAGUUUGGA